rnacentral:lncRNA from 10 species
GUUGGGGAUCAUUCUUAGGCCCCCAACCAGGGUUUAUGCUGCUUCUCUGCUCUGCUUUUGUCCAGGAGGUGAGGGCAGCAGAAUCAGAAAGUGAUCUUCCCUAGUGGUCAUGAUGGUCACUGUCUAAACAAACAUAAACAUUGGGAGAGUAACUUAGUGAGUCGUCCUUUCACGGCUCCUCCUGAUUCACCAUAUUGCAUAUAAAAUGGACAUGACAUGUCUAUGUCCAGUUGGUUUCCUGAGAGAAAGACUUCAUCAGCUGCUGGAUAUAUGAGAGGGGAUUGUCACAGGUGAUUAAGAACAUGGACCUUGGAGUCAGCACAAGGCCCAAAUCUGCAAAUUCAGAUGCGAUAUUACCUUUCAACUGCACAAGCUGUACCACAAGGAUUUGAGAAGUUUAUUAUUGGACACAAAUCUGUCAGGAACUCCUCUGCUGUUAACUGACCA